rnacentral:rRNA from 1 species
UUCGUAGGCGGUUAUUUAAGUCAGGUGUGAAAGGCAUAGGCUCAACCUGUGUAAGCACUUGAAACUGAAUGACUUGAGUUAAGGAGAGGAAAGUGGAAUUCCUAGUGUAGCGGUGAAAUGCGUAGAUAUUAGGAGGAAUACCAGUGGCGAAGGCGACUUUCUGGACUUAUACUGACGCUGAGGAACGAAAGCGUGGGAGCAAACAG